ACGAGAAGCGAACCUGCGAAGGCAAGCGGAUCUCUUAAAGCCGUUCUCAGUUCGGACUGUAGGCUGCAACUCGCCUACACGAAGCUGGAAUCGCUAGUAAUCGCGGAUCAGCACGCCGCGGUGAAUACGUUCCCGGGUCUUGUACACACCGCCCGUCACACCAUGGGAGUCGGAAAUGCCCGAAGCCGGUGACCCAACCAAAAGGAGGGAGCCGUCGAAGGCAGGUCUGAUAACUGGGGUGAAGUCGUAACAAGGUAUC
rnacentral:rRNA from 1 species